GGCGGCGCGCUUAACACAUGCNNGUCGCACGAGAAAGGGAGCAAUCCUAAGUAAAGUGGCGCACGGGUGAGUAACACGUGGAUCAUCUACCUUUUAGUGGGGAAUACCUCUGGGAAACCGGAGACAAUACCGCAUAAGCCCGCAAGGGGAAAGCAGCAAUGCGCUGAAAGAGGAGUCCGCGGCCGAUUAGCUAGUUGGCGGGGUAAUGGCCCACCAAGGCGAAGAUCGGUAGCCGGCCUGAGAGGGCACACGGCCACACUGGCACUGAAACACGGGCCAGACUCCUACGGGAGGCAGCAGUGGGGAAUCUUGCACAAUGGGCGAAAGCCUGAUGCAGCGACGCCGCGUGAGCGAUGAAGCCCUUCGGGGUGUNAAGCUCUUUCGACGGGAACGAUAAUGACGGUACCCGGAGAAGAAGCUGCGGCUAACUACGUGCCAGCAGCCGCGGUAAUAC
rnacentral:rRNA from 1 species